GGGCGCUUAGCUCAGUUGGUAGAGCAGCUGACUCUUAAUCAGUAGGUCAUAGGUUCGAAUCCUAUAGCGCCCACCA
rnacentral:tRNA from 1 species